UCUUUCUUCUUCUUAUUGUUUGCAUUUAGUUGAAAUAAAUUGGCCGCAAAUUCCUUAAACGAAUAAGUAAAUGGAUAAAAUGAGCACGAACGGUGAAGUUGAGUUUUUACCAAAACGCAAGCGCUACAACCCCCAAAAGCGUUGAGAAGUUGCCGAGGAAAAAGCGUUGAUUGAAUUCCUUCUAGAGAAUCGCGAUUUUGAGUUAUUUACAGAAACCAUCGGCAAGGCUAUUUUAUAAUCGCUUCGCGAAUGAAAAACAAAUCCUGGUCGAGUGGAAAUCAGCGCGCUCAAAAGUAAGAAAUAUGCGAUCUGUAUAAAGCGAAGGAAUGGUAAGGAAGUACUGGCGCUGGUUGCAUGGAUGGCGAUACUAUAAAAAGCGUUUUGCUCAAAAAGGCUCGCUAUUUCUACGAAUUUGACGAUAUUUUCGGUGCCCGACUAAACGCUUGUGCUGUAGUUGAAGAAAUAAUGGAAAGUGCUGAUACUACCAUUGAAGUAUUAAGUCCUGUGCAAAUUGAAAUUCCUACUGCAAAUGAAACAGUUACCACUCCAAGGCAAAGAGGAAUAUACUCCAGAACAGCGGCUUCCGAUAUUAUGCAAAUCCAUGGCGAAAUAAUGACAUUGCGAAAGCAAAAGUUAGAGGCAGAAUUGACUGCAAGGGAAAGAGAGUUCGAGCAAAAAGAAAAAGAGUUGCAGUUAAAAGCUAAAGAAGUAGAGCUCAAAGAAAUUGAAAUAUUCGCGCUAAAAGACAUCAAACAACUAGAGCUACAGAUGAAAGAGCGAAUCGCCAUGGAGGAGCUAAAGCUGAAGUACAAAUACAUUUUUAAAACUUAUUUAGUAUACGAAAAUACCAAUUUUUCUAUUUUUUACCUUUGUUUUCUAUGAGAUGGACUCACACAUCGUUUUAUACGAUGGUUUAAUUUAAAUUUUUGUUAAUGGUAUAAUUUUAUAUGUACAUUUGUACGUAUGUACUAUGAACGUACAAUAAACGCCAAAUAUACACGUAUACUUGAAAAUGUAAAAGUGAAUAAAUGUAGCUAUGUUAGUGCAAUAUGUUUAAACGCAAA